UCGGGAAUUUUGGGCAAUGGGCGAAAGCCUGACCCAGCAACGCCGCGUGAGGGAUGAAGUAUUUCGGUAUGUAAACCUCGAAAGAAUGGGAAGAAUCAAUGACGGUACCAUUUAUAAGCUCCGGCUAACUACGUGCCAGCAGCCGCGGUAAUACGUAGGGAGCAAGCGUUGUUCGGAUUUACUGGGCGUAAAGGGCGCGUAGGCGGCGCGGUAAGCCACUUGUGAAAUCUCUGAGCUUAACUCAGAACGGCCAAGUGAUACUGCUGUGCUAGAGUGCGGAAGAGNCAACCGGAAUUCUUGGUGUAGCGGUGAAAUGCGUAGAUAUCAAGAGGAACACCUGAGGCGAAGGCGGGUUGCUGGGCCGACACUGACGCUGAUGCGCGAAAGCCAGGGGAGCAAACG
rnacentral:rRNA from 1 species